rnacentral:rRNA from 1 species
AUUGAACGCUGGCGGCAUGCCUUACACAUGCAAGUCGAACGGUAACGGGCCUUCGGGUGCCGACGAGUGGCGAACGGGUGAGUAAUACAUCGGAACGUGCCCGAUCGUGGGGGAUAACGAGGCGAAAGCUUUGCUAAUACCGCAUACGAUCUACGGAUGAAAGCAGGGGACCGCAAGGCCUUGCGCGGACGGAGCGGCCGAUGGCAGAUUAGGUAGUUGGUGGGAUAAAAGCUUACCAAGCCGACGAGCUGUAGCUGGUCUGAGAGGAUGAUCAGCCACACUGGGACUGAGACACGGCCCAGACUCCUGCGGGAGGCAGCAGUGGGGAAUUUUGGACAAUGGGCGCAAGCCUGAUCCAGCCAUGCCGCGUGCAGGAUGAAGGCCUUCGGGUUGUAAACUGCUUUUGUACGGAACGAAAAGCCUUCUUUUAAUACAGGAGGGUCAUGACGGUACCGUAAGAAUAAGCACCGGCUAACUACGUG